rnacentral:rRNA from 1 species
UACGAAGGGGCUAGCGUUGCUCGGAAUUACUGGGCGUAAAGCGCACGUAGGCGGUCUUUUAAGUCGGGGGUGAAAUCCUGGAGCUCAACUCCAGAACUGCCUUCGAUACUGGAAGACUCGAGUCCGGGAGAGGUGAGUGGAACUGCGAGUGUAGAGGUGAAAUUCGUAGAUAUUCGCAAGAACACCAAGUGGCGAAGGCGGCUCACUGGCCCGGUACUGACGCUGAGGUGCGAAAGCGUGGGAGCAACAGGG